AGUCACGGUAACAAUUCACAUACCCCAGCACUCUAAAAUCUUGAUACCUAUAUAUUUAUACAUAUAAAAAAAAUUUAACAUCUACACACUAGCAUUCGCCUCCCAAUUAACUUAAGUUAAUCCUAAUGUCACGAAUUUACUAUUGUAAACCUAAUUUCCCUUUACCCACAUCUUGUUACUGUGCAGCCACUCCCCCCUCCCUCUCCACUUUCAGCGCCGCACAACCCAUCCUCGUUGCAGUCUUCAACGGUCGUCACCAUCAACGGGAGUCAACGCCGCCGGAAAACCAAACAACGCCACUCGUGAGUACCUUUCCGCAGUCGCCCAAGCGUCGCCGCCUCUACUGCAUGUUUGAAGACGCGUCCAAUCGUCCGGCUUCCAACCCGAUGCCGCCUCCUUGCUUCGCCUUAACACAUGCCACGACUGAACUCUUCCGGCGUCGUGGAGUCACUAGCAAGCCCGUUGCUAAUCGGCCUCUACAUCCCCUCCCACCGCCGCUACCUGUCUCGCGUCCGAGCCCACCGCGCAGCGUGUCUUCCCUCCGGUGCUGACGCUGCACUAACAGGGAAGGCUCAUUGAAGACAUCGCAAAGGUGGUCAUCCCCACUUAUAAGCCCAAUAAAAAAGGCCUGCCUUGCACAUAUGCCUCUAUUUCAAUACAACCAAAUAGUUUUGAUUGUGGUGUAUACGCCAUAAAAUUCAUGGAGUACUGGAUCGACAGUGGGAAUCUGAAUGACUGGAAUUAUGACACCAUCAAAUAAUAUAGGUUGGAAAUAAUGCUUGACAUCUUUCUAUGUCAUAAAAAUUUAGCCAUUGGAGAUGCUUUGAAUGCCGCCGGAACCAACCAAUGAACAAACGUAAGGAUGUUAGGACACUAUUCACAGCACCUAGCACAAAGAGCAUGCUUCAGCGAGUUGUAGGUAAGGAUGGAAAAAGGUCAGGCAGUCUCCCAGGGGCCUGUAGCCUGGCCUGUGUUUGACUUGGCCUGGCCUGACCUGUUAUAAAAUAGGCACAUGUUCAGACUCUUAUAAAAGCCUUAUUAUGUUAAUAGGCCAGGUCCAAACUCACUAAUU